rnacentral:rRNA from 1 species
GAUGAACGCUGGCGGCGUGCCUAACACAUGCAAGUCGAACGAGAAGUUAACCGCUGAUUCCUUCGGGAUGAGGAGGUUAGCAGAAAGUGGCGAACGGGUGAGUAACGCGUGGGUAAUCUACCCUGUAAGUGGGGGAUAACCCUCCGAAAGGAGGGCUAAUACCGCAUAAUAUCUUCACUUCUAAAAGAAGAGAAGAUUAAAGAUGGCCUCUGUCUUAAGCUAUCACUUCAGGAUGGGCCUGCGUCCUAUUAGUUAGUUGGUGGGGUAAUGGCCUACCAAGACCACAAUGGGUAGCCGGUCUGAGAGGAUGUACGGCCACACUGGGACUGAGAUACGGCCCAGACUCCUACGGGAGGCAGCAGUGGGGAAUAUUGCGCAAUGGGGGAAACCCUGACGCAGCGACGCCGCGUGGAUGAUGAAGGCCUUUGGGUUGUAAAAUCCUGUUUUGGGGGAAGAAACCUUAAGGGUCCAAUAAACCC